UGGGGAAUUGUUCACAAUGGGCGCAAGCCUGAUGACGCAACGCCGCGUGGGGGAUGAAGGUCUUCGGAUCGUAAACCCCUGUCGAAUGGGACGAAAGACUCGCGAGUGAAUACUUCGCGAGAGUGACGGUACCGUUAAAGGAAGCCACGGCUAACUCUGUGCCAGCAGCCGCGGUAAUACAGAGGUGGCAAGCGUUGUUCGGAAUUACUGGGCGUAAAGGGCGCGUAGGCGGCCCUCUAAGUCAGAUGUGAAAUCCCCGGGCUCAACCUGGGAAUUGCAUUUGAGACUGCACGGCUAGAGUGUGUCAGAGGGGGGUAGAAUUCCACGUGUAGCAGUGAAAUGCGUAGAUAUGUGGAGGAAUACCGAUGGCGAAGGCAGCCCCCUGGGAUAACACUGACGCUCAUGCACGAAAGCGUGGGGAGCAAACAGGAUUAGAUACCCACGUAGUCCCUGAGCGGGCUGGCAAGGCGCAU
rnacentral:rRNA from 1 species